GCUCAGCCCUGGGGCUUCUUGCAUUUCACCUUGUCCCAGGGCACCAGCCAGCUGGGCUGGGCUGGCCGCUACCCCAAGGAUGGGUUUUGCUGAGGAAACACGGCAUUCCUAAAUAUUGGCUGGUUUGGUGGUGUAAGCACAUUCUUUCUGGCAUUUUUGCCUGUCCCUGGCUGUGCAUUAUUGUCCACCGGUCACAUUAUGUAGGUGCUGUUGUUCCAAGAGAAACCAAAGCAAGAAUUUGAACUUUCAAGUGCUUCCUGCCAUUGUCUUUUGCUUUUGUUUGUGCUGCUGACUCCAAACCAGAUGGAUCGGGCUCCUCUCCUUCCAGGGGGCGAUGGGAAGUCAACACAGCCGGGUGAGGUUUGACAGCUUUGUCUUCUAUUGCCCUUCAUCCGUCAAGCCCAGCCAGUGGUGCUGAAUCGGCCCUCGCAUAUGGAUGUGGGGAAGGAGAAAUUCUUCAGCUGCCAUGUUGCACUGCCACACCAGAAGCACCCACCUCUGGGAGUCCUCAGGGAGAGGUGACCUCUGAUCUCACUCCAGGUGGGGCACAGACCUGCAGGU